CUCGCGCUAGUAAAGUAAGUUAUUCGGACCAGAUCCAAAAAACGAAUAUCAAGGUCCUGUUCACCGUCUUCUUCAAUACUCAUAACUCCAGAAAUAUUGAGUCACUAAAGUUGAAAAAAGAGAGCCCAUAAUGGCAAAUGUAGAGUCAGAUUACAUCUGUUUCAUGUCAUCUCUCUUGGGUGAUUCAGAAGGAGGUUGUGGAUUUUAAUCAAGUUGAUAUUGAAGUUCUCCAGUUCAAGAACUGUUGUUCCAGUAUAGGUGCACUAAGAGUAUAUAAAGGGUCUCCAGAAUUUCUUGUAGUUUGAAGAACAUUGACGGCUGUAUGGAGUGUUUGCAAGUCCAUCAAGGACGGAUAUCUUUUUGUUAAAAAUAAACUCGAAACUUUGUUAAAGUUGGAGCAACAAAUUGUGGCUACUGGUGGUAGAAUUCCUAUCAUACCUUAGGUGUUAAUAACAUGAAAAAUGAAGUAGGAAUUUGCUGCCGCUGCAGAGGAAUUUGAAGAUUUUUCAUGAGCUACUUGAUUGCUAGGUUGGAAGGUCUAAAGAAUUUCAUGUGAAUAAGUUUUUUCGCGAUCUAUCGGACUUCCUCACAAUUUUGAUGUGGAGUGAGUGUUUAAGUCAUCAGUAUUAGGCAUUUGUUGAAUUUGAGAUGAUGACCAAAUUGAUGUUUUCUGUUAUUUGAUGACUAAAUCUUUGAAUUCUAAUGGCUUCUUUUGAGUGAGUGAUGUA